AUGUCACAGAAUCACAGAAUAGCUUGAGUAUUGGAAGGGACCUCUGGAGAUCAUCUAGUCCAACCCCCUGCCAAGCAGGAUCACCUAAAGCACGUUGUGCAGGAUGGCACCCAGGCAGGUUUUGAAUAUCUCCAGAGAAGGAGACUCCACAACCUCUCUGGGCAACCUGUUCCAGUGCUCUGUCACCCUCACAGUAAAGAAGUGCCCCCUCACACUCAGCCAGAAUUUCCCAUACUU